CCGAGCUGCGUGGGCUCGUAACCAGGGCGACGGGGGCGGGGCGCUGGCCCUACGCCGCAGGGUGCUCACCUGGAUUGCGCGUCCACUUGGCGAGUUCAGCGUCAGGUCCCAGAGGAUCCCCAGCAAAAACUUCUGUAUAUCCUGGCUCUUCCCUGACCACUUUGGAGCAGGUCCUCAGACCCAUGUGAGAGGCUGCCUCCCAGGCUAUAGUCCUCACACGCGGGCCUCUCACUGCUGUGGCCCCUCCCACUGCGGAGCACAGUUCCCUGAUGUGCAGGCCCAGCGGCCAUGGCUCACAGGCCCAGCCGCUCCGCGAUGUGUGGGAUCCUUCCGGACCACGGCACGAACCCGUGUCCCCUGCAUUGGCAGGCGGACUCUGAACCACUGCACCACCAGGGAAGCCCUCCAGCUUUCUUUUGAUUUCUAUUUGCAUGGAAUAUCUUUUUCCAUCCUGUCACUUUCAAUCUGUAUGUGUCCCUAGGUCUGAAGUGUGUCUCUUGUAGACAGUAUAUAUAUGGGUUUUGUGUUUGUAUCCAUUCUGAGAGCCUGUGUCUUUUGGUUGGAGCAUUUAAUCCAUUCAUGUUUAAGGUAAUUAUUGAUAUGUAUGUUCCUAUUACCAUUUUCUUAAUUGUUAUGGGUUUGUUUUUGUAGGUCCUUUCUUCUCUUGUGUUUCCUGCCUAGAGAAGUUACUUUAGCAUUUGUUGUAGAGCUGGUUUGUUGGUGCUUAACUCUCUUAGCUUUUGCUUGUCUGUAAAGCUUUUGAUUUCUCCGUCGAGUCUGAAUGAGAUCCUUGCUGGGUAGAGUAAUCUUGAAUGUAGGUUCUUCCCUUUCAUCACUUUAAAUAUAUCUUGCCACUCUCUUCUGGCUUGCAGAAUUUCUGCUGAGAAAUCAGCUGUUAACCUUGUGGGAGUUCCCUUGUACAUUAUUUGUCAUUUUUCCCUUGUUGCUUUCAAUAAUUUUUCUUUGUCUUUAAUUUUUGUCAGUUUGAUUACUAUGUGUCUUGUGUUUCUCCUUGGAUUUAUCCUGCCUGAGACUCUCUGUGCUUCCUGGAUUUGGGUGGCUAUUUCCUCUCCCAUGUUAGGGAAGUUUUUGACUGUAAUCUCUUCAAAUAUUUUCUCGGGCCCUUUCUUUCUCUCUUCUCCUUCUGGGACCCCUAUAAUGCAAAUGUUGUUACAUUUAAUGUUGUCCCAGAGAUCUCUUAGGCUAUCUUGAUUUCUUUUCAAUCUUUUUUCUUUAUUCUGUCCCAUGGCAGUGAAUUCCACCAUUCUGUCUUCCAGGUCGCUUAUCCGUUCUUCUGCCUCAGUUAUUCUGCUAUUGAUUCCUUCCAGUGUAGUUUUCAUUUCAGUAAUUGUAUUGUUAAUCUCCGUUUGUUCUUUAAUUCUUCUAGGUCUUUUUUAUACAUUUCUUGCAUCUUCUAGAUCUUUGCCUCCAUUCUUUUCUGAGGUCCUGCAUCAUCUUCACUAUAAUUAUUCUGAACUCUUUUUCUGGAAGGUUGUCUAUCUCCACUUCCUUUAGUUGUUUUUCUGGGGUUUUACUUGUUCCUUCCUCUAGUACAUAGUCCUCUGUCUUUUCAUUUUGUCUAUCUUUCUGUGAAUGUGGUUUUUGUUCCACAGGCUGCAGGAUUGUAGUUCUUGCUUCUGCUGUCUGCCCUCUUGUGGAUAAGGCUAUGUAAGAGGCCUGUGCAAAUUUCCUGAUGGGAGGGACUGGUGGUAGGUAGAGCUGGCUGUUGCUCUGGUGGGCAGAGCUCAGUAAAACUUUAAUCUGCUUGUCGGCUGUUGGGUGGGGCUGGGUUCCCUCCCUGUUGGUUGUUUGGCCUGAGGCAACCCAACACUGCAGCCUACCUGGCUCUUUGGUGGGGCUAAUGGUGACUCUGGGAGGGCUCAUGCCAAGGAGUACUUCCCAUAAUUUCUCCUGCCAGUGUCCUUGUCCUCAUGGUGAGCCACAGCCACCACCCCCCGCCUCUGCAUGAGACCCUCCAACACUAGCAGGUACGUCUGGUUCAGUCUCCUGCGGGGUCAGUGCUCCUUCCCCAGGUCCCGAUGUGCACACUACUUUGUGUGUGCCCUCCAAGAGUGGAGUCUCUGUUUCCCCCAGUCCUGUCAAAGUCCUGCAAUCAAAUGCCACUAGCCUUCAAAGUCUGAUUCUCUAGGAAUUCCUCCUCCCGUUGCCGGACCCACAGGUUGGGAAGCCUGACGUGGGGCUCAGAACCUUCAGUCCUGUGGGUGAACUUCUGUGGUAUAAUUGUUCUCCAGUUUGUGAGUCACCCACCCAGCAGUUAUGGGAUUUGAUUUUAUUGUGAUUGCACCCCUCCUACCAUCUCAUUGUGGCUUCUCCCUUGUCUUUGGUUGUGGGGUAUCUUUUUUGGUGAGUUCCAGUGUCUUCCUGUAGAUGAUUGUUCAACAGUUAGUUGUGAGUCCGGUGCUCUCGCAAGAGGGAGUGAGAGCACAUCCUUCUACUCCGCCAUCUUGAACCCUUCGUUGUUUUUUAUUUUUUAAUGGUGUUUGGUAACCUGCAAUCCAUCUGAAAUUCAGUUGUUUUUGCUAUUAUUUCCCAAGUGUUUGUCUGGUCCCUGAAAAUUAAAAUGGUCUGUUUCUUACACUCAGGGUGAUAUUCCUUCAUACUGUAUCCCAGCUCAGCUGGCUGUCCAGAGUUCUGUCCUGGGCUCUGCUCAGCCUGUUGGUUAGAAUUAGUUGGGAUGGGCUGCAACUCAGUGCAAAGGAAAACCACAUCUAUGUCCUGGGAGAGACCAGCCCAAACCAUGCAUUUGGUCCCGAGGGUUGGCAAAUCCUCUUGGGGCUCCAGUCAGAAUCAAUAGUGUGAGUAGGUUUGUAGGUGGCAGCUCCGAGCAUGGUCCCCUGCCGCUGUGGGCAUAGAUGCCAAGCCACUGAGGUGGCCCCGAGCGGCAGAGCACAAACCCACGCUCCUCCCCUCAGUGUGUUUCCUUCUCUGCUGAGGCAACGCUUUCUGGGACCAGAUGGGCUGUGAGGUUACAUAAAAGCACCUGGUGGAGGUGCCACCCACCACGAGUCAGAAAGUGUAGAUGUGGCGAUUCCACUGACUAGUCUUAACACUUUCUAAUUUUUCUGAUUUUGUUCCCUGGAAAAUGGGAAAAAAUAUAAUCAUUUUAAAGGGUUAUUGUAAGAAUUAAGUGGUAUUAUGUAUUCUUGAUAAACACAAAUCUACAUGUUAAUAUCUAUGAAAGUACUAUUUGCAAAUCAUGGUGCUAAAUUCUAUAGGAAUUACAGAAGAGAUUAAGACAGUUGAAAUAAGACACAUACAAUACAGUUUAUCACAGUUUGAUGGGUGGAUUCUUAAAAAUUUUGAAACAAUUGUGACUUUUGAUAUAUUAUUUCAUGUGUUUCUUGAAAUGUUUAUGCUUUCAAAACACGGCGGAAGGAGGCACAGUAACUUCCUUUCAUCCACUGGGGACACGUACACCCAUCAUUUCCACGUGCCAGCAGUGCUAGGCACUGGGUACUUUAAAAUUAUAAAACUUGCAAAGCAAAUCAUGGUAGCUUUGAAACAUUUAGCUAUUUUUUUAUAUGAAGCUCACUGCUGUAUCUUGGAAAACGUAAAAUAAGUAAGUAAAACCAAUUUGUAAAUUAGAGAAGAAUGUGCUUUAAAAUAUUCAACGCAUUUUAUUUUUGUUUUUCUCCAAACAUCGCAGGCUUCUCAAGUCUUUCAAAGUCUCUGAUUUAUUACUACAGAGAAUGUGUGUCCUGGGGAGAUAGGGGGGUGCACAAGGCCUGACUGGGUCUGGUGUCUGGCCUUACAGGUGCUAAAAUAAGGCCUUCUAUCCACCUCCUAUUGGAAGUGCUUCCUGCCUUCUUUGGGGUUAUUUCCAACAGAGUUUCUUAGGUAACAUGUUUUUGUUUGUCUGCUUUGUCUUGUUAAAUCGUGACCCCUGCACCUGCAGGCUGGGAGGUGAUUACAGCCCCACCCAUCGACCCAGGUGUAUGCUGGGGGGUCACCCUCCAUGAAGUGGCCUGGGGAGUCUAGAUCCAUACAUUCCUUGUCGUGCGGGUGGGUGCUGCAUGGGAGCCCCAGCCUGAGGCCCCUCGGCCGGUCCCCGCUGACGGUGAACUUCCCACCGCCGAGGUCCUGCGCUCCCGCUGUCUCAAAUUGUGUGCCGUUUCUUUUCACAGUUGGAAUGAAAUCAGGUAGUCCAUUAUUUAGGGCUCUCUGGUUGGAGAUAACAGAAUAGCCUAGACGAAGGGAAACCCCACCAGAUCCAAGACAGAAGGAGUAGAACCACAUGCUGGGACCCAGCGGCCCAGACCCAGUCCUGCUCUUCUCUACACAGCGCCCCCUCUGCGCCACACCCCCCAUGGCAGCGUCCCGCUCGCCCUCGGCUUCCGCGUUCUUUGCCUCUGUGCUAAUGGGAUUCUGGCCCCCGAAAGAGAGGAUCACUGCAAUGUUAGCAG